CCUACUUGAUGAGUGACAAAGUGCAGAGCUAUAUGAAGCCGAAAGUAUAGCUAUGACUAGCGAAUACGUAGCCCCUCAUUCGGUUCCUCUUCUCAUUCAUUGAAAGUGUAACGUUAUCUAAGUCUUCGACAAGUUUUGAUCACAGAGGAUAGUGCAAAAUAAUAACAGCAGGUGAAGCAGUGCAAUGGCAUAUGUCCCAUGUCCUGUAGUUAUUGUCGCUCAGCUAAUGCUUGCUGGGAAUAGCACACGGGGCAACCUGUUCUCGUGCAAAUAUUUUGUGUACAACACAAGGUUCCAUUUAUGCAUUUUUCCUGCAAGACAUUGUUAAAGAUAAUGCUAGGUGAUUCAACUAGUUUUAAUAAACCGGACCAUUGAAUCAGUAGAAGAGUAUGUAUAUAGCUAGGUCAAAUACUAACAAGGUAGUCAUUCUUGUAAAGGAAAUUAACCAAAGAAUAAUUAUGUGCUGAUGUGCAUGCAGUAGACAUUCCCAACUAAUGACAGGCAGUUUACCGCUGUCCUUAAUGUGGAAAGUGUACAACCACUGUAUUCUGCCAAUUCUAACAUAUGGGACAGAAACUUGAGAAAAUAACAAAGAAAUUCGGGAAGAGCUUCAGAACCACACAGCAUGCAAUGGAAUGAAAAAUGGUAGGCGUAAAAUUAAGAGAUAGGAAGGCAGCAUAGUGGAUCACAGAACAGGUGGGUAGCCAAUAUCCUGGUAGUCAAAAAUUGACCUGAGCAGGUCAUGGCGUGAAAAGGACAGAUUACCGAUGGUCAGUUGGAGCAUCGGAAUAGACGCCAAGGGAUGGGAAGCACGGCCGAGGUUGACAAAGGCGCUAGGUGGCUCAAUGAAACAAAAAAAUUUGGAGGCAUAAGAUGCAAUGCCCUGCAUAGGACACGAUGGAUUGGCGAGGCCUUACUUCAGUAGGGGACGUGAAAUAGGCUGGUUAUUAUGCAAAAGUUUCCUGUAAAAGUACAUUUUUAGAGCGAAUUUGCAGACCUGUUUUAUAUUUUUUGAAAAACUACCUAACACUCGGUAUACAUUAUGUGUUGAUUGGAAGACAUUGGUGCACUUAUAUAGUGCUGCCUACUCCUUUUCACAGAUAAUAGGAUUAUUGAAAAUCUCUGCCCCAAAGAGAAAACAAAAAUGCCUAAAAUCGCACCUAUAGUCGGAUACAACUUAAGCAGUGCAGAGAGGCCCCUCCCUGAUGACCAAAGCAUGAUAGCCAUGCGCCUCUGUGGCUGAAGAAAUAGUUUCGCUCAUGUACUUGGCGAUGUUCUCCGAAGGUGGGGUGACCGGUCGUCCAGCUUGUGACAUUAGUCUAGAGUGCGCUCCCAUUCGUGCAGGCUUGUGUGCAUCCUCCUUUGAGGAGUAAAUGCCGUGGACUUCUAAAGCUGUAUUCUACUAUAGAGAGAGCUUGUCAGUCAAGCCGUAGCGAUUCGCAUAAAAGCAUGAAGUCCAUUCACAGAGUGUUGCUGCCAGAAGUAAAGGUCACACAAAGUCGCACAGUAUAGUAUGCUGUCGCUUCUCUUCUGCUGCGGGCCAGCAUAAACUUGCAAAACAGUCUUGCACUGUAUUUCGUAUAAACGUGCUUCUUUUAUUUCUAUUUUUUUGCUGCUAAGUGAAUUGUUUAAAAACUACUUCAAAUAUCCCAAAGCUGCAGCUCACAUGCAACAGUAAAUCGAGACAGCAUUGCUGAAAACGGACAAAGGUGAGAAAUGUGUAUCCGAUUCAUGCUUACUGCAAGGAAAGCACACCUCCAUCUCUCUCCCCACUUCUUUUCGUGUGCUGAUCUAAGAUGACUUUCUGUGGUGAGAAUAAUGCUUGGUGUGGCAUUGCUACACACAUUUGCAGGUAGAAAAUUAGAUUCCCACUGCUUGUGGAAAUGUUGAGAGCAACAGAAAAAUAAUUGUUUGUGUUCGUCAAUAUUUUUUCACAGUUCCUAGAUUUCCUUUUGCUGUAGCAAAGUAAGUUCCAUUGGAAGGGCCAACGACUACAUUUUUGUAAUGCCAUUUAGAAAAUCUUAAAAUGACCUUGCUUUUUCUUAUUCAGUAUUCAAUGGAAGGUUGCACUCUUUUAUCUUUGACCAGCACAAGCAUUAUGUCUUGAAGAAAGCAGCCAUUGCUGCUUCUUGAGAUAUUUGCUGCAGUAUUGCAUGCUUCUCUAAACUACGCAGGAGCAGCCAAGGCAACGGGGACGACUGUUCGCCACCCACAUCAUCCGCAAAGGCGGCGCUUGUUGACAAACUGGAUGCUGCAGCUCGUCCUGGCUGCAGCUCGACCUCCCCUACCAGUACAGCAAACCAGCUUGCCGGCAUGAAGGUGGAAGACAGCACUGACAUCACAUCAGGACCUGGUGCUCUUCAGUGCUGGCUUGAGAGCAUUGGUCUGCCUACCUGCUUUCCCAUCCUUCUGGAGAAAGGCAUCCGUGACAUGAAUGGCUUGAGACUGAUGAGCUUCAAGGUACGAUUACUGUAGUAAUG